UUUCCGUAGGUGAACCUGCGGAAGGAUCAUUACCAAAACUGGCCGCAAGGCCUGCUGAACGGUGGCUUCGAGCCCCCCGACAGUAUACCCUUUGUGAAAAACCUCUGUUGCUUCGGCGGCAUCCUCGGGGGAAACCCCGGGGUGUCAGCCCGCCGACGGCACCCUCAAAAACUCAGUUGGAAACCCUUCUGUCUGAUAAAUUAGCGAAUGCUAUAAAACUUUCAACAACGGAUCUCUUGGUUCCCGCAUCGAUGAAGAACGCAGC
rnacentral:misc_RNA from 1 species